AAACUCAAAUUUAAUCACUUUUAAAAUAACUUUUCAAAUUUUAAAUCUAAACUCAAACACUAUAUUUCAAACCCUAAACUCUAUAUAUAAACUCUAUACCCAAAUCAUAAAUCAAAACAUUAACUCUAAUAUUUUCAAAGUUUAACAACAAAUAUCAACUUAAACUCAAAAUUUAAUAUUUUAAAUAAACUAUUUCCAAAACUACUAAAAUUCAAACACUAUAUUCCAAACCAUGUACAAUAACUCUAAAUCUUAUACCCCAAAUCAUAAAAUCCAAACAUCAAAUUUAACCUUUUCAAAUUUAAACACCAAAACCUAAACAUAGAUACUAAUCAAAAAAUUUCAAAUUGUAUCCUCAAAUUUUACUCUAAACCCCAAACCUAAGACUCCAAAUAAACUUUAAUCAUGAACAUUAACCUUAUAUUUAAAAAUUUUAAAUUAGACUAAACUUUUAACUUUAAUCAUAGUCAUUAAUCAAAUCAUAUAUUAUAAAUCUAUUAUUUAAAUUUAAAUUCAUUUGUUUAACCAUAUAAACCCAUUCAUAUUUAAGUGAAUUAGAAGCUUAUUUGAUGACCAAAGAAAAAGAAUUAACAGCUUAAUUCUGAUUGGACCAAAAAGUGAAGCGUGGAUCACCAUUUUUUGAAUCUCUGCCGUUGGUAAUAUUAAUCUUACGGCUCAGAUUAAUUCACCAUUCUUCUUCCUCCACACGAUUCUAUACUUCUUAUUUUCUUCUUCUUCUGUACCUCUUCGAUCUCCUCAUCUAAUCUCAUCUCUCUUAUCCUCUUCCCAUCUCUCUUUCUCCUCUGCUCAUGAAUCAUUUACUUUUCUUCUUUCAAGCAAAUGGAUCUGAACGAAGAGGAUUACCACCGUCAUGCUUCUCACCACCAUGCUCCUUUCUAUUCGGUUGCGCUCUUCACCACCACCACCACCGCACGCUCGUCAACACCACCACCGGUCACGAAAGUGGAGGAGGCACAGGAGAUUGAUGAAUGAGGAACAGAAGAUUGAUGGAGGAGGUAGCAGUGGUGGGUCGUGAGCAGAGCCGGCUUGAAUGUUGAAGACGAAGAAGCUCGGUGAGGAGGCGGCAGGCGGCGGAGAAUAUACAUUAGGUUUAGAUUAGGGUUAGGUAUAUUUUUAAUUUGGUUUAGUAUGCUAAACCGAUUUUAUUUCUUAAUAGUUUGAUAAAUCGUUUUAAAUUUUGUAAGCCAAUUUGAUAUAUAAAAUAUAAUUUUCUAAUAUU